AACGUAGGAGCCUAGCGUUAUCCGAAUUCACUGGGCGUAAAGCGCGUGCAGGCGGUUCGGUAAGUUGGAUGUGAAAUCUCCUGGCUCAACUGGGAGAGGACGUUCAAGACUGUCGGACUAGAGGACGGUAGAGGAAGGUAGAAUUCCCGGUGUAGUGGUGAAAUGCGUAGAUAUCGGGAGGAAUACCAGUGGCGAAGGCGGCCUUCUGGGCCGUUCCUGACGCUCAGACGCGAAAGCUAGGGGAGCAAACGGGAUUAGAAACCCCGGUAGUCCUAGCCGUAAACGAUGUAGACUUGGUGUCGGUGGGGUAAAAGCCAGCGGUGCCGAAGCCAACGCGAUAAGUCUACCGCCUGGGGACUACGGCCGCAAGGUUAAA
rnacentral:rRNA from 1 species